UUUCGAGUGAAUGCUAUCUAGGGACUUGACACAUGCGAGUCGAAUGCCAAACAAAAUUUAUUUGGACCAUGGCGAACGGGUGAGUAAUGAAUAGGCAAACUACCUAUAGGAUAGGUUAAAUACCUAAUUAAAAAGGAUAAUAUCCGCCUAUAGAUGUACCUAUUGAAUAGAUUAGGUAGUUGGUAAGAUAAUAGCUUACCAAGCCAAUGAUCUAUAGUUGGUCUGAGAGGAUGGUCAACCACAGUGGGAAUGAAAAAGGCCCACACGAACAUAGUAUCGGCAGCAGUGCGGAAUAUUGGUCAAUGGCCUAAAGGCUGAACCAGUCACCUAGAAGAAUGGACAUAUUAAUUUGAUAAAAUUCUAACGAAAAGGAGGAUAAUGACUGUACUUUUCUAUUAAUCCCGACCAAUCUCGUGCCAGCAGUCGCGGUAAUACGAGAGGGGUAAGCAUUAUUCAUCAUAAAUGGGUCUAAAGGGUACGUAGGCUGUAUCAUAAGACUGGAUAGUAUUUAACUAAAUGUAUAAACACUUUCUAGUAACUGUGAUACUAGAGUAUAAUAGGAGAAAGAGGAAUUCCGGGAGUAAGGAUGGAAUCUAAUGAUAUUCGGAGGACCGCUAAAAGCGAAGGCUUCUUUCUAAUUAAAUACUGACGCUGAGGUACGAAAGUAUGGGUAGCAAAACGGAUUAGAGACCCGUGUAGUCCAUACCGUAAACUAUGAGUGUUUUAAAUUGGUUCUUUAAUCAGUUUAUAAAUGUAGAUUAAAACACUCCACCUGGGGAGUACUGCCGCAAGGUUGAAACCCAAAAGUAUAGAGGGUCUUGAAAACCAGCAGUGAAGCAUGUUGUUUAAUGUGAUGAUCCGCACAACAUCUUACCACUCCUUGAAUGUUACACAGGCGUUGCAUGGCUGUCUUCAGUUCGUGUCGUGAGAUAUUAGGUUAAGUCCGCAUAACGAACAAAACCCUUACAAUUAGUUAAAAUUUAAUUGAAUAUUCAGUGAUAAACUGGAAUAAAUAGGACUAAGACAAGCCCUCAUGGCCCUUAUGGAGUGGGCUACAGACGUGCAGCUAAGAGGAACACAAUGGGAUUCAAUAAGGCAACUUGGAGAUAAUCCUCAAAUUUCCUCUUUGUGGAUU
rnacentral:rRNA from 1 species